GCGGCGUGCCUAACACAUGCAAGUCGAGCGGAGAAUGCAGAAAUGUUUACAUGGAUGUAUUCUUAGCGGCGGACGGGUGAGUAACACGUGGGUAACCUGCCUCAAAGAGGGGGAUAGCCUUCCGAAAGGAAGAUUAAUACCGCAUAAGCUUACAGCAUCGCAUGAUGCCGUAAGAAAAGGAGCAAUCCGCUUUGAGAUGGACCCGCGGCGCAUUAGCUAGUUGGUGAGGUAACGGCUCACCAAGGCCACGAUGCGUAGCCGACCUGAGAGGGUGAUCGGCCACAUUGGAACUGAGACACGGUCCAGACUCCUACGGGAGGCAGCAGUGGGGAAUAUUGCACAAUGGGCGAAAGCCUGAUGCAGCAACGCCGCGUGAGUGAUGAAGGCUUUCGAGUCGUAAAGCUCUUUGAUCAGGGAUGAUAAUGACAGUACCUGAAAAACAAGCCACGGCUAACUACGUGCCAGCAGCCGCGGUAAUACGUAGGUGGCGAGCGUUGUCCGGAAUUACUGGGCGUAAAGGAUGCGUAGGUGGAUACUUAAGUGGGAUGUGAAAUCCCCGGGCUCAACCCGGGAACUGCAUUCCAAACUGGGUAUCUAGAGUGCAGGAGAGGAAAGCGGAAUUCCUAGUGUAGCGGUGAAAUGCGUAGAUAUUAGGAGGAACACCAGUGGCGAAGGCGGCUUUCUGGACUGUAACUGACACUGAGGCAUAAAGCGUGGUA
rnacentral:rRNA from 1 species